GAUGAACGCUGGCGGCGUGCCUAAUACAUGCAAGUCGAACGCUGGAAAUCUAGCUUGCUAGAUUGAAGGAGUGGCGAACGGGUGAGUAAUACAUAAGCAACCUACCCACGAAGACUGGGAUAAUCUCUGGAAACGGGGACUAAUACCGGAUAGGUAAUCGGAAGGCAUCUUCUGAUUAUUAAAGGUUAAAACCACUGGUGGAUGGGCUUAUGGCGCAUUAGUUAGUUGGUGAGGUAACGGCCCACCAAGACGAUGAUGCGUAGCCGGCCUGAGAGGGUGAACGGCCACAUUGGGACUGAGACACGGCCCAGACUCCUACGGGAGGCAGCAGUAGGGAAUUUUCAGCAAUGGGGGAAACCCUGACCGAGCAACGCCGCGUGAGUGAUGACGGCCUUCGGGUUGUAAAGCUCUGUUGUAAGGGAAGAACGGUAGAUAGAGAAUAUCUAAAUGACGGUACCUUACUAGAAAGCCACGGCUAACUACGUG
rnacentral:rRNA from 1 species